GGACGAACGCUGGCGGCGUGCUUAACACAUGCAAGUCGAACGGAAAGGCCCUGCUUUUGUGGGGUGCUCGAGUGACGAACGGGUGAGUAACACGUGAGUAACCUGCCCUUGACUUUAGGAUAACUUCAGGAAACUGGGGCUAAUACCGGAUAGGAGCUCCUGCUGCAUGGUGGGGGUUGGAAAGUUUCGGCGGUUGGGGAUGGACUCGCGGCUUAUCAGCUUGUUGGUGGGGUAGUGGCUUACCAAGGCUUUGACGGGUAGCCGGCCUGAGAGGGUGACCGGCCACAUUGGGACUGAGAUACGGCCCAGACUCCUACGGGAGGCAGCAGUGGGGAAUAUUGCACAAUGGGCGGAAGCCUGAUGCAGCAACGCCGCGUGCGGGAUGACGGCCUUCGGGUUGUAAACCGCUUUCGCCUGUGACGAAGCGUGAGUGACGGUAAUGGGUAAAGAAGCACCGGCUAACUACGUG
rnacentral:rRNA from 1 species